GAUUUAUUCCCUUGCUGUUCUGGAUUCUUAGCCUUGGUUUUGGACGGGCCCCCGGUUGAGAAGCAUAACUACUGGGUCCAUGUGAAGGCUGAUGGUGGUAGUUGAACCUGGGCCUGACCUCCCCCAGGUCUCUGUGGCAAUGUUAUUUACAAGAAGUGUCCCUUCUUGCUCAGCAAAGAGACGCCUCCUUUAAUAUAUAUUGCUGGUUCAUUAACAGUGCACUCAGGUUCCACACAGCACCAUAGCCUGUGUCUGAAGGAAGCUAAUUGACACCUAUUUUGCCCAUGAGCCUUCUUGGAUUUAGGAAUACCAGACAGCACUUUAGCACCGGGCUUGGGGGUCAUUUUUAACAUCCAGAUCGCCAACAAAAAGCACGGCAAUGCAGAAAACGUGGCAAUAAAGAAACCGUGAAAGGGAUACCAUGUUUACAACAUGAGCUGAAACAAGAAGGCAGAGGGUUGCCUUGUUUGACCUCAGCUGAAAACAUGCACGUUGAGCAACUUCACUUUUUCACUGGUAUGACAAUCUCCAUGAAUGACCAUGACAACACAGUGAGUAUUGAUUUGGGGGUUGCAAAUCAAUUUUAGCAAGGAGAGGAUUUUGCAAAUAUGGCACCCGUGAAGAAAUGGGGAUCCACUGUAUAGUUUACUAUUAUCCAUGUGCUUG